GAUGGUGUAGUGCAGCUGAUUGAUAUGAGUAACCAAAAUGUGAUGGUGCUGUGCAGCUGAUUGGCAUUGACAUCGGCCAAUCGGCACGUAGCACCGCCUUUUUAAACCUGAUUGGUCGGUGCUUGGGAUACGUCACGUCCGACUCCGACGCACUGGUUUGGGUGUCUGUAGCCGCGGCUACAGUGCAUCGUGUGGCGGUGGCUUUUCCCUUGGCUGUGGUGGCUGGAUGACUGUUCAGUUGCAGCUAUUAAUUCCGGCACCUCGCUGUAUUGUAUCGACCAACGAGUGAUUUAGAACGUG